rnacentral:rRNA from 1 species
GUUGUAUAGUCAAGUAAUUAAGUGCAUGUGGUGGAUGCCUUGGCAGUCAGAGGCGAUGAAAGACGUAAUAGCCUGCGAUAAGCUCCGGGGAGGCGGCAAAUAUCCUGUGAUCCGGAGAUUUCUGAAUGGGGAAACCCACUUACCAUAAGGUAGGUAUUGCAUGAUGAAUACAUAGUCAUGCAAGGCGAACGAGGGGAAGUGAAACAUCUCAGUACCCUUAGGAAAAGAAAUCAAUUGAGAUUCCCUUAGUAGCGGCGAGCGAACGGGGAAAAGCCCAUUAAGUCAUAUAAGUUCUAGUGGAAUGCUCUGGGAAGUGCAACCGUAGUGGGUGAUAGUCCUGUACACGAAAGGGCUUAUAUGAUGAUGUCGAGUAGGGCGGGGCACGUGAAACCUUGUCUGAAUAUGGGGGGACCAUCCUCCAAGGCUAAAUACUCCUGACUGACCGAUAGUGAACCAGUACCGUGAGGGAAAGGCGAAAAGAACCCCUGUGAGGGGAGUGAAAUAGAUCCUGAAACCGCAUGCAUACAAGCAGUGGGAGCCGGCAUUGUGUCCGGUGACUGCGUACCUUUUGUAUAAUGGGUCAGCGACUUACAUUCAGUAGCAAGGUUAACCGUAUAGGGGAGCCGUAGGGAAACCGAGUCUUAAUAGGGCGUUUAGUUGCUGGGUGUAGACCCGAAACCGGGUGAUCUAUCCAUGAGCAGGUUGAAGGUUGGGUAACACUAACUGGAGGACCGAACCCACUGUCGUUGAAAAGCCAGGGGAUGACUUGUGGAUAGGGGUGAAAGGCUAAUCAAACUCGGUGAUAGCUGGUUCUCCCCGAAAGCUAUUUAGGUAGCGCCUCGGACGAAUACCAUUGGGGGUAGAGCACUGUUUCGGCUAGGGGGUCAUCCCGACUUACCAAACCGAUGCAAACUCCGAAUACCAAUGAGUACUAUCCGGGAGACAGACUGCGGGUGCUAACGUCCGUAGUCAAGAGGAAAACAAUCCAGACCGCCAGCUAAGGCCCCAAAAUUAUAGUUAAGUGGGAAACGAUGUGGGAAGGCAUAGACAGCUAGGAGGUUGGCUUAGAAGCAGCCACCCUUUAAAGAAAGCGUAAUAGCUCACUAGUCGAGUCGGCCUGCGCGGAAGAUGUAACGGGGCUAAAACUAUAUGCCGAAGCUGCGGAUUUACACGUAAGUGUAAGUGGUAGGGGAGCGUUCUGUAAGCCGAUGAAGGUGGAUUGAGAAGUCUGCUGGAGGUAUCAGAAGUGCGAAUGCUGACGUGAGUAACGACAAUGCGAGUGAAAAACUCGCACGCUGAAAGACCAAGGGUUCCAGUCCAACGUUAAUCGGGGCUGGGUGAGUCGACCCCUAAGGCGAGGCCGAGAGGCGUAGUCGAUGGGAAAUUGGUUAAUAUUCCAAUACUUCUGUGUAAUGCGAUGAGAGGACGGAGAAGGUUAAGUCAGCCUGGCGAUGGUUGUCCAGGUGAAAGGUUGUAGGCAUGUAUCUUAGGCAAAUCCGGGGUACUCUAUGCUGAGAACUGAUAGCAAGCUGUACUUGUACAGCGAAGUGGCUGAUACCAUACUUCCAGGAAAAGUCUCUAAGCUUCAGUUACACAGGAAUCGUACCCGAAACCGACACAGGUGGUCAGGUCGAGUAGACCAAAGCGCUUGAGAGAACUCUGCUGAAGGAACUAGGCAAAAUGGUACCGUAACUUCGGGAGAAGGUACGCUGUCGACGGUGAU